rnacentral:rRNA from 1 species
CCGGAUAUUGGACGGCCCCCCUUUUUCUUUCUGGAAAAAAUUUUGGUGGGAGAGGGCCCGGGGCCUAUAAGCUUGUGGGGAGGAAAGGCUCCACAAGGGUUUCAAGGGUCCCCGCCUGAGAGGUGACCGGCCACACGGGGAUUGAGACCCGGCCCAGAUUCCUACGGGAGGCAGCAGUGGGGAAUAUUGCACAAUGGGCGCAAGCCUGAUGCAGCAACGCCGCGUGAGGGACGACGGCCUUCGGGUUGUAAACCUCUUUUAGCAGGGAAGAAGCGAAAGUGACGGUACCUGCAGAAAAAGCGCCGGCUAACUACGUGCCAGCAGCCGCGGUAAUACGUAGGGCGCAAGCGUUAUCCGGAAUUAUUGGGCGUAAAGAGCUCGUAGGCGGUUUGUCGCGUCUGCUGUGAAAUCCGGAGGCUCAACCUCCGGCCUGCAGUGGGUACGGGCAGACUAGAGUGCGGUAGGGGAGAUUGGAAUUCCUGGUGUAGCGGUGGAAUGCGCAGAUAUCAGGAGGAACACCGAUGGCGAAGGCAGAUCUCUGGGCCGUAACUGACGCUGAGGAGCGAAAGGGUGGGGAGCAAACAGGCUUAGAUACCCUGGUAGUCCACCCCGUAAACGUUGGGAACUAGUUGUGGGGUCCAUUCCACGGAUUCCGUGACGCAGCUAACGCAUUAAGUUCCCCGCCUGGGGAGUACGGCCGCAAGGCUAAAACUCAAAGGAAUUGACGGGGACCCGCACAAGCGGCGGAGCAUGCGGAUUAAUUCGAUGCAACGCGAAGAACCUUACCAAGGCUUGACAUAUACGAGAACGGGCCAGAAAUGGUCAACUCUUUGGACACUCGUAAACAGGUGGUGCAUGGUUGUCGUCAGCUCGUGUCGUGAGAUGUUGGGUUAAGUCCCGCAACGAGCGCAACCCUCGUUCUAUGUUGCCAGCACGUAAUGGUGGGAACUCAUGGGAUACUGCCGGGGUCAACUCGGAGGAAGGUGGGGAUGACGUCAAAUCAUCAUGCCCCUUAUGUCUUGGGCUUCACGCAUGCUACAAUGGCCGGUACAAAGGGCUGCAAUACCGCGAGGUGGAGCGAAUCCCAAAAAGCCGGUCCCAGUUCGGAUUGAGGUCUGCAACUCGACCUCAUGAAGUCGGAGUCGCUAGUAAUCGCAGAUCAGCAACGCUGCGGUGAAUACGUUCCCGGGUCUUGUACACACCGCCCGUCAAGUCAUGAAAGUCGGUAACACCUGAAGCCGGGGCCUAACCUCUUGUGGAGGCUACGAAA